GACGAACGCUGGCGGCGGGCUUAACACAGGCAAGUCGAACGGAAAGGCCCUGCUUUUGUGGGGUGCUCGAGUGGCGAACGGGUGAGUAACACGUGAGUAACCUGCCCUUGACUUUGGGAUAACUUCAGGAAACUGGGGCUAAUACCGGAUAGGAGCUCCUGCUGCAUGGGGGGGGUUGGAAAGUUUCGGCGGUUGGGGAUGGACUCGCGGCUUAUCAGCUUGUUGGUGGGGUAGUGGCUUACCAAGGCUUUGACGGGUAGCCGGCCUGAGAGGGUGACCGGCCACAUUGGGACUGAGAUACGGCCCAGACUCCUACGGGAGGCAGCAGUGGGGAAUAUUGCACAAUGGGCGGAAGCCUGAUGCAGCAACGCCGCGUGCGGGAUGACGGCCUUCGGGUUGUAAACCGCUUUCGCCUGUGACGAAGCGUGAGUGACGGUAAUGGGUAAAGAAGCACCGGCUAACUACGUG
rnacentral:rRNA from 1 species